UACGUAGGGGGCGAGCGUUGUCCGGAAUCAUUGGGCGUAAAGCGCGUGUAGGCGGCUUGGUAAGUCCGGUGUGAAACCUUGGGGCUCAACCCCAAGCCUGCACUGGAUACUGCCUCGCUUGAGUCCGGGAGGGGAGAGCGGAAUUCCUAGUGUAGCGGUGAAAUGCGCAGAUAUCAGGAGGAACACCGAUGGCGAAGGCAGGUCUCUGGGCCGAUAUUGACGCUGAGGAGCGAAAGCGUGGGGAGCGAACAGG
rnacentral:rRNA from 1 species